CUCUCUCUCUCCUUUCCCCGCCCACUCUCUCUCAUCGGUGAUCUUUUUCUCACUUCACGACAAUAUCUCCUCCAAUUCUCUGCCUUUUCUCUCGCGACUCUGGCUCCGAUGAAGCUCUUCUCUCCUAUGCCGCAUAAGAUUUUCUCUCUCUUUGGAUUUGUGAGCCGUAUGAGAUAGAAGGAAUCAAAUGGAAGGUCAUGAUACACUUUUAAAGCUCGACAAUAGGAUUUCAAAGCAAAUGGAAAUAACAAAUCAUCAUAAUAUCUUUAGAUCUCGUUGUUCACUUUUUAAGUCAAACAUUAAAGUUUUUUCAAAUUUUAGCUAAACAUUUUAGCUAGAAGUUUACCAUGAUGACUUUGAUUCUCUAAAUUUACUUUUUGAAAGUUGUUCACUUAUUAAGUGAAACAUGUAUUU